rnacentral:lncRNA from 1 species
GGUCCCUAAAUCUCUAAUAUUUUUUUCUCUAUUUUUUUCCUAACUUUCCACUCAAUUUUUCUUUCCUCUAGACUUACUCCUAGACUCCCUAUUUAUAGGUAAAAUUUUCAUUUUUUUUGAUAAGAAAAGGAGUCCUAAAAUCUUUAAAAAUCGUAUAAAACCCUUUACAAUUAUUUUUGAUCGUUGGAUCAGCUUCAGACCGCUCAGAUCUGAUCAAAAAUCAUUAUUUUAAUUCUUAUCAAAGUCA